UCAUCUAAAAUCUUUUUUUUAUUUUCUUCUUCUUCGGUUCUCCAGUAAAUAAGCGGCUGCCAUGGUUCUCAUCGUCUGAACACAGAAGAAAAGUAGAACUCAAAGAUUUCAAUGGCGAAUCAAUCAUGGACUGAAAGUAUUCGAAGCAAUAGAAGCUGGACUAUCCUCUCUGGUUCCUUUAAGAAAUCGAGUGAAGAAGAACAGAAACACGCGGUGACAUGGUUGUCCCAAACUCAUCAGUAACAGGUUCUUUUGUUAAUAUUUGUUCUCAAUGCAAAUUAGGGAUCUCAAAUUUGUGGAUUUUGAUUUCAACCACCAAAUCAAAAUCAGGAACAUGCAUUGUGACGGGGAAACACCAGAAAGUCACAAGCCCAGGUUAGGAAGGAGGCAAGAGAUGCCCCUAACAGAUGCUCAGGAAUGAUGUACCUCCUGUGCAAAGAACCACUAUAUUUAACCAUGUCCAAGAUAAUUAAUUUAGCGAAGUGGCAACAUCCUCAAUGAUACGGAGAAUGAAUUCACUUGCUGCAAUGCUCAAUUGCAUCUACAAAGACUGUGUCCGACAAUUUCCGCAAUGAUUUUGAAGAAGUGAAGUAUAUGCACAGUUAUAUCUACCAAAGGCAUGACCCCACAAAAACUAUUGGCAGUUUUACACACGGUUACUUAGUUUCGCUGAUGCUUCCUUCUUAUGCUUAACCACUAUGGCAUCCCUCAUGAUUGACUCAGCAGAAACUCUGAUAUGCAAUACGAAUAGACUAUGAAAAGUUCCAUGACUUGGUUUGUUUUCCUCCCUACUGCAUUUGAUUUCCUUGCACAUAGUCAAGCCUUACUGAAUGUUUGCUUUUUGUCAACGCAAGUUGCUUCAGGAUUUAAGAGAUUCAAUAUAUUCGUUUAGUAAAAUCGGGAUUCAUUUAUGAGUUUGCGUUAAUUUUUUUCACGCAUUCGUGUAGAAAUCAGUGCAUAUGAAGUAACACGAAUAUCACCGGUAGUCAGUCCAUUGCCAUCAGCCGGUAGCUUCUAGCCUCUCAUGGACAAGGAACACUGGCUAAGCUAUAGGCCAUCCGAUCUCCUUUGUCUUUUCUUUUUAUAGUUUCCGUAGGCUUUUUGUUUUCAUGCUGUUAGUUCCUUUUAAAUCAUUCACUAAUUCGAUCUCCUGUGUCUUUUCUUUUUGCUCGAAGAUAUCAUUAAAGAGUGUGUCCGGCAACUGCAACAAAGGUGUGGUUGCGAGAGUGUUUGCAUCCCUAUUGGUGCAGUGGCUAAUAACUGCUUUAAAUCGUACAGUGAUUAAUACUCCCUCCGCACCACCUAUUAUAUAGGCGGAAUUUUCAUUUUUCCCCGUACUACUAUAUAGACGGAGUCCAAUUUUCAAAAUGAUUUUUUAUUUCUACUACCCCUAUUUGUUUGCUUGGGAAUCAUCACAAUCGAGUGUUAUGUAUCUAACAUUGGAAAUAUAAUUAAGGGUAAAAUAGGAAAUCACAUAGAAAUGUAUAAAAUCAAGAAAGUUUCUUAAUGUAAGAGUUUUUGUCUAUUGGGCGUAUAUAUAUAUAUGUGGUAUGGAGGGAGGGCCGACGAGUAGUACCAGACCAAAGGACAUGUAUGCUUUUUAUUUUUUUCCGUUCCAUUGUUUAAUGGGAUAAUAUAUUGUUAUUAAAUCAGUUUGGUAGUUUUUGUUUGCAUCUUUUCUUGAUUUGAAUUCUAAGGCAAUGACUGCUUGAUUUUUAGUUAAUAACUUGGGGGCAGUAUUCGGUGCAGCAUAAGCCGGCUUUGACAUUUUUGUAACACGUCUCAUGAAAUGCUUUCUAGUAAGUACAGGGCGAGGCGCAGCCGAGCCACACCAAAUUAAAAAUCCUAAAAAUGCUAAGCGAUUGGAUGGGGCAAAGCCAUAUCACAGUUAAAACUAAAAGAAAAUGAUAGUGAAUGGUUUUCGGGCUUGCCCGGUGUGUAGUACGGGCACAAAAUCUAGUUUAGAUAGAGUUGCAUAAAAAUUGAUUUUUGUGAUAUGGAUGGGAUUUAGAAAAAGGUGGGUUAAGAAAUAGGUAAAACCUUAUAUAUUUUUAGUUUUGACACCCAACAAAUAUACAAAUAUACCGUUAUACAACAACAAAUAUACUCUUAUCAUUUAAAACUUUAUCCUUUAAAAAUAGAUUACCUUAAUACCCUCACUCAUAUAAUAUAUUUAUUUAUUUCAAAAUACAACAAGAAAAAAUUCCACCACUUCACCCACCACCACCAUCACUAGCUCCACCUAUAUCCACCGUCACCAUCCGUGCUCCAUCAUAUAUCUAUUACCACCACCGACAACAUUCAACUACUAUUCCACCACUACUACCACCACUAGUCCGCCGCCACUAGUCCACCUCCGCCGCCAGUGGUGUCAAAAACCGAAGUUGAUCCCAGAAACAAAAAA